AAAUGCAACAAAAAUAUUUACAAUUGCACUUAAAUCUCGAUGGCCUAAAAGAGAUCUUUUGCUUGGUAAAUUUUCAUCUUUCUUUGUUGUGAAACUACAGCUGGUGGAGGAGAAAGUGAUGUCAGUUGACAAGAGGAACCAACAGCAUACCCAGUGGACCUAGAAUAAACUUUUUAUCUUUGAGUCAGAUUCUCAGAACUUUAUUUUUGUUUUUUAUAUUGUUAGUGAUCUUCAUGAUUUCCCAAAAUAUCCAGCACCUCAUUUUUUCACAUGAGUCCUCAGCACCCAAACAGAGGAGUCUCAAGGAUGACAUUGAAAGGACAGCAAUAUAACCAUCAGGAAUUCAGGCUACCUU